UUGGAAAGGUGAUUUAACAGUGAUCGGAAGAUGUUUCUCCAUGGUUUAUUAAUUAACGACGAAUUACCAGAUAAUAUUCACUUAUAUCGCUUCUACGAAUCCUUGACGUUGGAUUAGAAUUCAAUUUGUGGAUCGUACUCUACACGGUAUAUCUGUGGAAGUAAAAGACGUACACGUAACUUUCUGAUUGGUGAUCCAACCGCAUUUAGAAAAGUAAACGCGACACGAUUCACGUUGGAUAGAUGAUUAGAAGUCUAGUGGAAGUGGAAACAAUGGGACGGAGCAAAUUGCCUUUUGCUGACGAAUAGAAAGCCGAGGUUUCUUAAUGGUGGACAAAGUUGCUUGAGAGGUAACGUCGCACGAUUUCGUUGAAUGUCAACGCGUUCGUUAGGCUGGAAUUUUGCGGGCACGCGGUUGAUUGUGUUUAAGCAACGAACAGUGGCGAAGUGUUUCGUUCAAGUUCUAUCAUUUCGAGAGUUUUCCUGGAGUAAUUCUGCGCACUGCCUCGAAUCUCUGAAUGUUGGAUCGACCAACAGAGGAUAUGUUAAUGAGUGUUUGAUUUAAGAGAUUGCAAUUUUUAAUGCGAAGUUCAGAAUUGCACGGUGGAAAAUUAAAAUAUAAAGAUUAUAUUAUUUAUUUCGUUAUAUUCAAAUUUACUUAGUUAUGAUUAAGUUUAAUGUUAUUAUUACGAGCAGAGAUGUCUGUAUUUUCUUGUUUCUACACAGUAAUAGGUAUCUACGUCGAUAUCAGUAUCUAUAUGAAAAGACUUUAUUACGUGUUUAUGAAUGUAAGCAAUAACAUGUUACUUAUGUGGAACACGGUUCUGUAUUAUUAUCGCUUCAACUACAAUGUUAUUUUGGGUCUAUGUAAAAUAUUACUAUAUUUCAGAAAUGCAAAUCUAUAUUUGAGAAAAUAAAGUCCUAGAGCCGUCUUAAAAUGUA